rnacentral:rRNA from 1 species
UACGGGGGGGGCAAGCGUUGUUCGGAAUUACUGGGCGUAAAGGGCGCGUAGGCGGCCUACUAAGUCGGACGUGAAAUCCCUCGGCUCAACCGGGGAACUGCGUCCGAUACUGGUGGGCUCGAAUCCGGGAGAGGGAUGUGGAAUUCCAGGUGUAGCGGUGAAAUGCGUAGAUAUCUGGAGGAACACCGGUGGCGAAGGCGGCAUUCUGGACCGGCAUUGACGCUGAGGCGCGAAAGCCAGGGGAGCAAACGGG